AACGAACGCUGGCGACAUGCCUAACACAUGCAAGUCGAACGAGACCUUCGGUCUAGUGGCGCACGGGUGCGUAACACGUGGGAAUUUGCCUCGGGUAGUGGAAUAACUCAGGGAAACUUGAGCUAAUACCAUAUAAUGUCUUCGGACCAAAGAUUUAUCGCCCUGAGAUAAGCCCGCGUAGGAUUAGCUAGUUGGUGGGUAAAGGCUCACCAAGGCGACGAUCCUUAGCUGGUCUGAGAGGAUGAUCAGCCACACUGGGACUGAGACACGGCCCAGGCUCCUACGGGAGGCAGCAGUGGGGAAUACUGGACAAUGGGCGAAAGCCUGAUCCAGCAAUGCCGCGUGAGUGAU
rnacentral:rRNA from 1 species